AGCGAACGCUGGCGGCAGGCCUAACAUAUGCAAGUCGAACGAACCUUUCGGGGUUAGUGGCGGACGGGUGAGUAACACGUGGGAACGUGCCUUUAGGUUCGGAAUAACUCAGGGAAACUUGUGCUAAUACCGAAUGUGCCCUUCGGGGGAAAGAUUUAUCGCCUUUAGAGCGGCCCGCGUCUGAUUAGCUAGUUGGUUGAGGUAAUGGCUCACCAAGGCGACGAUCAGUAGCUGGUCUGAGAGGAUGAUCAGCCACAUUGGGACUGAGACACGGCCCAAACUCCUACGGGAGGCAGCAGUGGGGAAUCUUGCGCAAUGGGCGAAAGCCUGACGCAGCCAUGCCGCGUGAAUGAUGAAGGUCUUAGGAUUGUAAAAUUCUUUCACCGGGGACGAUAAUGACGGUACCCGGAGAAGAAGCCCCGGCUAACUUCGUG
rnacentral:rRNA from 1 species